GGAUUGUGGCUCAGCGGUAGAGCGUUUGCCUAGCAUGUGCAAGGCCCUAGGUUUGAUCCUCAGCACCA
rnacentral:tRNA from 1 species